CGCGUAGGCGGUCUUGUUAGUCAGGCGUGAAAGCCCUGGGCUUAACCUAGGAUGUGCGCUUGAUACUGCGAGGCUUGAGUGUGGGAGAGGUUGGUGGAAUUCCCAGUGUAGAGGUGAAAUUCGUAGAUAUUGGGAAGAACACCGGUGGCGAAGGCGGCCAACUGGACCACAACUGACGCUGAGGCGCGAAAGCGUGGGGAGCAAACA
rnacentral:rRNA from 1 species